GUUAAUGUAGCUUAAGAUUAAAGCAA
rnacentral:tRNA from 1 species